rnacentral:rRNA from 1 species
AGCGAACGCUGGCGGCGUGCUUAACACAUGCAAGUCGAGUGCGUAGUCUCUUGUAGCAAUACAGGGGAUGGGCGCACGGCGCACGGGUGAGUAACACGUGGGUAACCUGCCCUUCGGUGGGAAUAACCCGCGAAAGCGGGGCUAAUUCCGCAUAACAUUCCGGGGACGACAUGUUCUCGGACUCAAAGGAGUGAUUCGCCGGAGGAGGGGCCCGCGCCCGAUUAGCUUGUUGGUAGGGUAAC